AUGGUGGACAUCUUUGGUGCAAGAGACAAGAGGGAUGCAGAGGAGAGGGCAAGGGAGAAGAGGGAUGAAGAGGAAAGGGCAAGGGAGAAGAGGGAUGCAGAGAAGAGGGAUGUAGAGGAGAGUGUGGAUCCAACAAGACAAGAGAUUAAACAAAUGAUGGCCAUGGUGGAAGCGGAUGGUGCAAAACCAGGAAGUGAUGAGCAUUUCUAUGCUACAUUUCAUUUCAUGGAAAAGAAAUAUCGUGAUGUUUUCUCCACUUUCACGGCUCAUGAAUCUGUUGUAAGGCUUGGAUGGAUAAAGAGGAUGUGGGAGCUCAAUAAUAAGUAG
rnacentral:rRNA from 1 species